rnacentral:rRNA from 1 species
UACGUAGGGGGCAAGCGUUGUCCGGAUUUAUUGGGCGUAAAGCGCGUGUAGGCGGCUUGGCAAGUCCGCUGUGAAAAACUCGAGGCUCAACCUCGAGAUGUCGGUGGAAACUGCCUGGCUAGCGUCCGGAAGAGGAGUGUGGAAUUCCUGGUGUAGCGGUGAAAUGCGCAGAUAUCAGGAAGAACACCUAUGGCGAAGGCAGCUCGCUGGGACGGUACUGACGCUGGAGGAAGCGAAAAGCGUGGGGAGCGAACAGG